AGAGUUUGAUCCUGGCUCAGAACAAACGCUGGCGGCGUGUCUUAAGCAUGCAAGUUGAGCGGCAAGGCGGGGCGACCCGCCCUAGAGCGGCGGACUGGUGAGUAACGCGUGGGUAAUCUGCCUUGGGCCUGGGGAUAGCCACUAGAAAUAGUGGGUAAUACCGAAUACGUUCCACGAGGGGAGAGCUUGUGGAAGAAAGGGUGCUACGGCACUGGCCCAAGAUGAGCUCGCGUCCCAUUAGCUAGUUGGUGAGGUAAUGGCCCACCAAGGCGAUGAUGGGUAGCCGGCCUGAGAGGGUGUACGGCCACACUGGGACUGAGAUACGGCCCAGACUCCUACGGGAGGCAGCAGCUAAGAAUAUUCCGCAAUGGACGGAAGUCUGACGGAGCGACGCCGCGUGGAUGAUGAAGGCCGAAAGGUUGUAAAGUUCUUUUGCUGGGGAAGAAUAAGCCUAGGAGGGAAUGCCUAGGUGAUGACAUGAACCGGCGAAUAAGCCCCGGCCAACUACGUGCCAGCAGCCGCGGUAACACGUAGGGGGCGAGCGUUGUUCGGAAUUACUGGGCGUAAAGGGCAUGUAGGCGGUCUGGUAAGCCUGGCGUGAAAGACUGCAGCUUAACUGCAGGGGUGCGCUGGGAACUGCUGGGCUUGAGUGACGGAGAGGGAGCUGGAAUUCCUGGUGUAGGGGUGAAAUCUGUAGAUAUCAGGAAGAACACCGAUGGCGAAGGCAAGCUCCUGGCCGAUGACUGACGCUGAGGUGCGAAAGUGUGGGGAUCAAACGGGAUUAGAUACCCUGGUAGUCCACACAGUCAACGAUGUGCACUAAGUGGCUGGGGCGGUAGCCUCGGUGGCCGGAGCGA
rnacentral:rRNA from 1 species